GAUGAACGCUGGCGGCGUGCCUAACACAUGCAAGUCGAACGAAAACAUGAGGUGCUGGCUCGCCUGGCGUUAGCGGCGGACGGGUGAUUCACACGGGGAUGACCUACCUAUACGACUGGGGUGACUACGGGAGACAGGAUCUAAUACCCGAUAAUAUAUUGAACCGGGUGGUGCAAUAGUUAAAGUCGGUUUUGCGGUGACUAAUAGAUUGCUCCGCGGCGGAUUCGCUAGUUGGUAAGGUAACGGCUUACCAAGGCUAGGAUGCGUAGCCGACCUGAGAGGGAGAACGGCCAGACUGGAACUGAGACACGGCCCAGACUCCUACGGGAGGCCGCAGUAGGGAAUCUUACGCAAUGGGGGAAAGCCUGACAGAGCAACGCCGCGUGAGUGAUGAAGGACUUCGGCUCGUAAAACGCUGUUGUUAGGGAAGAACUAAUGUGUAAUUAACCAUGAAGGUAAUGACGGUACCGGAAGAAUAAGCCCCGGCUAACUACGUG
rnacentral:rRNA from 1 species